AAGUCGUAACAAGGUUUCCGUAGGUGAACCUGCGGAAGGAUCAUUAACAAUUCAACAAUACUCGUGUUUGGUAUGGUGUAACAGCAUCAUUGCUGUGUUUGUCUGUCUGGUUCCUCCUCCUAUAUAUAUGUGUAUCAUACUACUAUGGUAUGCGGGGGGUGGGAUGGACGGGGAGACGCACAAGGAUGGUGGUGCCGUACCAGUUAACAACACAAAACACUUACAUUAAACUACUUGAGACAACAAAUACACAUAUACACUUUUUCGGGUGUAACAACCUUGAGAGAGAGAAUACAUAAUUAAAAACAACUUUUAACAAUGGAUCUCUCGGCUCUU
rnacentral:misc_RNA from 1 species